CUAUACGAGUGACUCUGUCUGAUUCGAUUCACUGAACCAUUCAAAUGAGUCAUUUGUUUGUAAGUCAAACUGAGCACGCUAUAGUAGCAUUACACCUGCUAAGAUAAUUCAAUAUGUGCAAUCUGAAUUUAAUAAUAAUAUUUAUUUUGUGGUAACACUGCCGUGUGGGCAGCUCUGACAGAGAAAACACAUAUGUAAUCUGACAUUUAUUUAUUUUAUUUUUUUACAGAAAUUCUGAGCUGCUGCAUGAACAUUCAUCAAACAUAUAAGGCUGCAAUUUGGAAAAAAACUUUCAAGCUAAUGCUGCUGAAAUGGAGGUCAAGGGGACUAUGAAGAGGUGGCUCCAGCUGAUCAGAAGAGAGGACUUCAGGAGGCAGACACACUCUGUUACAAUAAUCAGCUGAUCCAGUCGGUAUCCAGACCAGACGGUGGACCUGCACCAGGAGUGACCACAACACAUCCCUGACUGUCAGCGGA